CACGCCGUAAACGAUGAGUACUAGGUGUAGGAGGUAUCGACCCCUUCUGUGCCGCAGUAAACACAAUAAGUACUCCGCCUGGGAAGUACGAUCGCAAGAUUAAAACUCAAAGGAAUUGACGGGGACCCGCACAAGCAGCGGAGCAUGUGGUUUAAUUCGAAGCAACGCGAAGAACCUUACCUGGACUUGACAUCCCCUGAAUGACUCGUAAUGGAGGAAGCCCUACGGGGCAGGGAGACAGGUGG
rnacentral:rRNA from 1 species